AUUGAACGCUGGCGGCAGGCCUAACACAUGCAAGUCGAGCGGAUGAAGGGAGCUUGCUCCUGGAUUCAGCGGCGGACGGGUGAGUAAUGCCUAGGAAUCUGCCUGGUAGUGGGGGAUAACGUCCGGAAACGGGCGCUAAUACCGCAUACGUCCUGAGGGAGAAAGUGGGGGAUCUUCGGACCUCACGCUAUCAGAUGAGCCUAGGUCGGAUUAGCUAGUUGGUGGGGUAAAGGCCUACCAAGGCGACGAUCCGUAACUGGUCUGAGAGGAUGAUCAGUCACACUGGAACUGAGACACGGUCCAGACUCCUACGGGAGGCAGCAGAGGGGAAUAUUGGACAAUGGGCGAAAGCCUGAUCCAGCCAUGCCGCGUGUGUGAAGAAGGUCUUCGGAUUGUAAAGCACUUUAAGUUGGGAGGAAGGGCAGUAAGUUAAGACCUUGCUGUUUUGACGUUACCAACAGAAUAAGCACCGGCUAACUUCGU
rnacentral:rRNA from 1 species